GAUGAACGCUAGCGGCGGGCUUAACACAUGCAAGUCGAGGGGCAGCAUAACUAGUUUACUAGUUGAUGGCGACCGGCGGACGGGUGCGUAACGCGUAUGCAACCUACCUCUAACAGGGAGAUAGCCCAGAGAAAUUUGGAUUAAUACCCCAUAGUAUAUAGAUAUCGCAUGGUAUUUAUAUUAAAGAUUCAUCGGUUAGAGAUGGGCAUGCGUAACAUUAGCUAGUUGGUGAGGUAACGGCUCACCAAGGCUUUGAUGUUUAGGGGGUCUGAGAGGAUGAUCCCCCACACUGGUACUGAGACACGGACCAG
rnacentral:rRNA from 1 species